rnacentral:rRNA from 1 species
UACGUAGGGGGCGAGCGUUGUCCGGAUUUAUUGGGCGUAAAGAGCUCGUAGGCGGUUUGGUAAGUCGGAUGUGAAAUCUCCAGGCUCAACCUGGAGGGGUCAUUCGAUACUGCCAUGACUAGAGUUCGGUAGGGGUGUGUGGAAUUCCUGGUGGAGCGGUGAAAUGCGCAGAUAUCAGGAAGAACACCCGUGGCGAAGGCGGUUCUCUGGGACGGUACUGACGCUGAGACGCGAAAGCGUGGGGAGCGAACAGG